AUUGAACGCUGGCGGCAGGCCUAACACAUGCAAGUCGAGCGGAUGAAGGGAGCUUGCUCCUGGAUUCAGCGGCGGACGGGUGAGUAAUGCCUAGGAAUCUGCCUGGUAGUGGGGGAUAACGUCCGGAAACGGGCGCUAAUACCGCAUACGUCCUGAGGGAGAAAGUGGGGGAUCUUCGGACCUCACGCUAUCAGAUGAGCCUAGGUCGGAUUAGCUAGUUGGUGGGGUAAAGGCCUACCAAGGCGACGAUCCGUAACUGGUCUGAGAGGAGGAUCAGUCACACUGGAAGUGAGCCACGGUCCAGACGCCUACGGGAGGCAGCAGUGGGGAAUAUUGGACAGUGGGCGAAAGCCUGAUCCAGCCAUGCCGCGUGUGUGAAGAAGGUCUUCGGAUUGUAAAGCACUUUAAGUCGGGAGGAAGGGCAGUAAGUUAAUACCUUGCUGUUUGGACGUGACCAACAGAAUAAGCACCGGCUAACUUCGU
rnacentral:rRNA from 1 species